rnacentral:lncRNA from 1 species
UUUCUCAUGCCAAGAAUGGCUUUCAGCCCUAUCCAAGGAGAUGGUCGCUCUCCUGCACAGCGGCCAGUGUUUCAUCACAGAAGAUGGCUCAUAGGGGAACACAGCCAAAAAUAGAAAAAUCAGUUUUACAUCAACUAGAAAAGACUAGAAAAUCAAAUUAUAUUUAUGUAUCCUUGUAAGUACAUAAAUGUCUCAGCAGUAGCUGAGAUGUUUAAAAAGCUAGGAAGAAAACCAGGCAGAAAAAUAUGAGCAGUCUUCUCAGUUAAAUAGGACAGAAAUACAUUGCUUUUCCUCCUUUUAAUUCUCUUUCAUUUAUAAACUAUUUAAUAAGCCUGUGUUACUUCUAAACAUUUUUAAGUUGCUAUACAGGUAAAAUGGACUAUGGGAGAGUAUAUAGACGUUUAAAACACAUAAAACAAGAAUAGUUCUCAUAAGCUGGACAUGGUGGCACGUACCUUUAAUCCCAGCACUCAAGAGGUAGAGGCUGGUGGAUGUCUGCCAGUUUGAGGCCAGCCUGGUCUACAAAGCCAGUUCCAGGACAGGCAGGGCUGUUACACAGAGAAACCCUGUCUCAAAAAACAAACAAACAAAGAAACAAACAAAAGUACUUUGGUUGUUUUGGGUUUGUUUUGAGGCACAGUCUGACUAUGUGGCUCAGGCUGGCCUUGAACUCACAGAGAUCCGCAUGGCUCCCGAGGGUAUCACCACGCUCAGUGGAGUGUGGAUUUCUAUAUGCACCCAUACAAUCAGAUCUGUACAUUAUUUAUUUAUAAUAAAAACUGUGCAUGCAUGCCUGUAUGUGUGUGUGUGUGUGUGUGUGUGUGUGUGUGUGUGUGCGCGCGCUCAUGCGUGUUUUGCUGGAGGCAAAGUCUAGAGCCUUCAUGCAUGCUAGACCAGUUCUUUACCACAAAGCUACAGCCCCGUCCAAGUGCCCUAGUUACAUUCCUGUUGCUGUGAUAAAAAAUACCCUGACUCCCCCCCCCCCCAAAAAAAAACCC